GGCCUUAUGGUCUAGUCGCAUGAUUCCUCGUUUGGGUUGGACAAUCGAGGAGGUCCUGGGUUCAAUUCCCAGUGAGGCCC